UGGGACAUGGGAUAAGAAAUCUUACUCACCUUCACAAAGGGAUAUGGUCUCUUAUAGCUGGCACUAGCCCUUUGUGUACUUUGAGUAAAGUAUUGAAUUGUUAGGGUAGUAACGUUACCAAAACCAUGUCCCUUCUUCAAAUUCUACAUGUCUCCUUUCGUUGUCUGUGCACUUUUGUUUAUCCUUUUUGACAGCUUGCCUGGGUAUAACCUAGUCAAAUCGGCUUGCUUUUUCCAAGAUUUAGCAAAUUUAUAGGUAGUAGGACUUUUAUCUCUAUAGCUUGAGACUAAUGCAUUAGGGAUCAUAUGUUGUUUCCUAGUCACGAUCUCGAAUGGAUUCUUAUUAGUUGACUCGCUUCUUUGCAAGUUGUAGAAGAAUUGAGCCAUAACAAGCAACUUGGCCCAACUUUUUUGGUUGGCAUUCACUUAUUGUCUUAUGUACAGCUCCAACAAUGCAUUAGUACGCUCUGUUUGCCCAUUACUUUGUGGAUAAAAGGUUGUGGAGAAGUUCAAAGCCUACUUAAGGAGCUUGAAGACCUUUAUUCAAAAUCUUCUUGUGAAUCGAUAGUUUUGAUCACUUACUAUGUUAUUUGGCACUUCCAAAAUUUUACUACAUGCUUUAGAAAUAGUCGAGUCAUCUCCUCUGCCAUGCAAUCCUUUAAUGCAGGGAUGAAAGUAUUAUAAUUGCUAAAUCUAUCCCCUACAAUAAUGAUGCUACCAUACCCUUUUGAUUUGGGCAAACAAGUGAUGAAAUCUACUAAGAUGCUUUCCUAUGGCUUUUAUGGAAUGGGCAACCGAUCUAGCAAGCUCUCAGGGUCAUGUGGAAGUCCUUCCUUGAUAUGAUCAAGUAGUGGGCACGUGGGUCGAUUCAUGGAAGCAAACUUCUUUUAGUGUAUCCGCCACCUAUUUCCUAUUCUUAGCUUGUAUUCCAUCUCAUAGUGAAACUUUACCAAGAAUUCUUGUCAUCGAAUUUGUCUAGGAAUGAGCUUUUUUUUGUGUUUAAAAGUAGCUAGUGACAACAUUGUUUAUCAUGAUAGUGAAGAAACUUCUAGAAGGUAAUGUCUUCAAGUGCGCAAAUAAUGGACAACUGUCAUCUUCUUUU